AUUGAACGCUGGCGGCAUGCCUUACACAUGCAAGUCGAACGGUAACAGGUCUUCGGAUGCUGACGAGUGGCGAACGGGUGAGUAAUAUAUCGGAACGUACCCAAGAGUGGGGGAUAACGUAGCGAAAGUUACGCUAAUACCGCAUACGAUCCAAGGAUGAAAGCAGGGGACCGCAAGGCCUUGUGCUCCUAGAGCGGCCGAUAUCUGAUUAGCUAGUUGGUAGGGUAAAGGCCUACCAAGGCAUCGAUCAGUAGCUGGUCUGAGAGGACGACCAGCCACACUGGAACUGAGACACGGUCCAGACUCCUACGGGAGGCAGCAGUGGGGAAUUUUGGACAAUGGGGGCAACCCUGAUCCAGCAAUGCCGCGUGAGUGAAGAAGGCCUUCGGGUUGUAAAGCUCUUUUGUCAGGGAAGAAACGGUUGUGGCUAAUAUCCACGGCUAAUGACGGUACCUGAAGAAUAAGCACCGGCUAACUACGUGCCAGCAGCCGCAGUAAAAC
rnacentral:rRNA from 1 species